GACGAACGCUGGCGGCGUGCUUAACACAUGCAAGUCGAACGGUAAGGCCCUUCGGGGUACACGAGUGGCGAACGGGUGGGUAACACGUGAGUGAUCUGCCCUGCACUUCGGGAUAAGCCUGGGAAACUGGGUCUAAUACCGGAUAGGACCACUGCCUGCAUGGGUGGUGGUGGAAAGCUUUUGCGGUGUGGGAUGGGCCCGCGGCCUAUCAGCUUGUUGGUGGGGUGAUGGCCUACCAAGGCGACGACGGGUAGCCGGCCUGGGAGGGUGACCGGCCACACUGGGACUGAGAUACGGCCCAGAAUCCUACGGGAGGCAGCAGUGGGGAAUAUUGCACAAUGGGCGCAAGCCUGAUGCAGCGACGCCGCGUGAGGGAUGACGGCCUUCGGGUUGUAAACCUCUUUCAGCACCGACGAAGCGCAAGUGACGGUAGGUGCAGAAGAAGGACCGGCCAACUACGUGCCAGCCGCCGCCGUAA
rnacentral:rRNA from 1 species